rnacentral:rRNA from 1 species
UACGGAAGGCAGCAGUGGGGAAUAUUGCACAAUGGGCGCAAGCCUGAUGCAGCCAUGCCGCGUGUAUGAAAAAGGCCUUCGGGUUGUAAAGUACUUUCAGUCGUGAGGAAGGUGUUAAGGUUAAUAACCUUAGCAAUUGACGUUAGCGACAGAAGAAGCACCGGCUAACUCCGUGCCAGCAGCCGCGGUAAUACGGAGGGUGCGAGCGUUAAUCGGAAUUACUGGGCGUAAAGGGCACGCAGGCGGUUAAUUAAGUUGGAUGUGAAAUCCCCGGGCUUAACCUGGGAAUGGCAUUCAAGCUGGUUAGCUAGAGUCUUGUAGAGGGGGGUAGAAUUCCAUGUGUAGCGGUGAAAUGCGUAGAGAUGUGGAGGAAUACCGGUGGCGAAGGCGGCCCCUGGACAAAGACUGACGCUCAUGUGCGAAAGCGUGGGGAGCGAAACAGGGAUUAGAUACC